UUUGUUUUCCCGACAAUUCAGGUGCUGCCGGUUAUGAUAAUGGGAGCCUUCUCUCUCUCGCCUCUGGUUUUUGGAUUUUCAAGUUCUUUGUUGUCUUGAAAAAAGAAGAAAAGGGUGAAAAGCUUUGAUCAUUUACACUCUGCUGGAUCAAACACGGCAUGACGAAAUCCGCAUUAUUGGUUGCCAGACUCUUUUUUUCUUUGUAAAUAGUCAGAUGGAUGGUACUUACAUGUUCAACUUAGAAGGCUUGAUUCCCAAGCUCUGUCAGCUAGCCCAAGAAAUGGGAGAGGAUGAAAGGGCAUGCCAACUGCGUUCAGAAGGGCUAUAGGCCCUUUCAUCAAUGGAGUACACACACCCAAAUGAGAGCACUGAGAUUACUUUAAUGUGAUUUAGAGGGCCCAAGGGUCAUCUUUUCUUUCUUUUUCCUUCUUCCCACAUGAACACCAAGCUAGAAAGAGCCCAAAAAGUUCAGUAUAAAAAUUCACUUGCAAUCCACAACAUAUUCCACAACAUAUCUAACUGAUAUGGCUACAGAGUACAGAUACCUAUAUCUUGAACCUUGUCAUUAAGUGAACAAGCCUUCACAUUAGGUAUUUUCCUCAUCCUUUUUCUAGGUCCUUUCAACGGUCAUCAAAGUUACCCUCAUACUCAGCCUGUCUCCAGUUUUUUAGCACAUGACCGAACCAUCUCAAUAUGCUUCUAUCAUUUAUCUCCCAUUGGGGCUACUCUUAGCUAGUUAGGUUACUUAGGAGGACCUCAUUCUUGAUUCUAUCCUUCCUAGUCUUCCCACACAUCCAUGGCAACAUCCUUGUGUCUACAGUGCUCUCACUCAUUUCAUGUUGCCUCCCAAUUGCAAAGCACUUAUCCUCAUAUGGUAUUGUCAGUUGAAUAAUGACCGACCUUUAGUUUCAUUGGCAUGCGAGCAAUCACACAACAAUGUAGAGGCACAUCUCCACUUCAUCCAACCAUCUCUAGUUAUAUUGGAAACAUCAUUAUAAAUUUCUAAAAGUUCAUAUGCUUAUUGAUGAAUAUUCCAACAAAUUCAUUUCAUUGAUGAAUCCUAAAUG